UCCGGUUUGUCACCGGCAGUCUCCUAUGAGUCCCCAACUGAAUGCUGGCAACAUAGGACGGGGGUUGCGCUCGUUGCGGGACUUAACCCAACAUCUCACGGCACGAGCUGACGACAGCCAUGCACCACCUGUGAAACUGUCCCGAAGGAAGACCGUGUUUCCACGGCUGUCAGUAACAUGUCAAGCCCAGGUAAGGUUCUUCGCGUUGCAUCGAAUUAAACCACAUGCUCCGCUGCUUGUACGGGCCCCCGUCAAUUCCUUUGAGUUUUAGUCUUGCGACCGUACUUCCCAGGCGGAUGACUUCGCGCGUUAGCUGCGUUACUAAGGGAUUUAACUCCCCCAACAACUAGUCAUCAUCGUUUAGGGCGUGGACUAC
rnacentral:misc_RNA from 1 species